rnacentral:rRNA from 1 species
AACGCGAAGAACCUUACCAAGGCUUGACAUCGCCCGGAAACACUCAGAGAUGGGUGCCUCUUCGGACUGGGUGACAGGUGGUGCAUGGCUGUCGUCAGCUCGUGUCGUGAGAUGUUGGGUUAAGUCCCGCAACGAGCGCAACCCUUGUUCCAUGUUGCCAGCAUGCCCUUCGGGGUGGUGGGGACUCAUGGGAGACUGCCGGGGUCAACUCGGAGGAAGGUGGGGAUGACGUCAAGUCAUCAUGCCCCUUAUGUCUUGGGCUGCAAACAUGCUACAAUGGCCGGUACAGAGGGUUGCGAUGCCGUGAGGCGGAGCGAAUCCCUAAAAAGCCGGUCUCAGUUCGGAUUGGGGUCUGCAACUCGACCCCAUGAAGUCGGAGUCGCUAGUAAUCGCAGAUCAGCAACGCUGCGGUGAAUACGUUCCCGGGCCUUGUACACACCGUAGUAC